rnacentral:lncRNA from 1 species
UCGAUCAACUCUUUCUGUUGGGUUAAAUUAUCUUAGUACACACACAUUUGACACAUACAUGCAAACCUAGCUACUCCCCUGAAUCUUUUGCACAUACUCCAAACUUAAUUUUGAUGGAGUAUCAUGAUUGGCAUGCGUUUCCUCUAAAUUUGUUGCACAUAUCAUGCAUGCUUAUCUACUCACGGUACUGUAUAUAUCAUGUAUGCAUGUACAGUUGUACAGUUGGUCACAACUCGAUCGUAGGUGUCGAUCAGUGCAUGCUAUGCGCGUGUGGGAGGCCGGCAUGUCACUGCCGUUGUAGUACUACGAGCCACACCAUUUGAGAGAUCCCUCCAUCCAUCAUGCUUGUGAAUCUGAUGCUCUGAAUUAUAUCACUGACCAGAUGCAUUUAACUGAGGUGAGGUGAGAAGAGCAGAAUACAGACUACUCCAGAGUACAGAGGAUGAACCAGAUGCAUUUAACUGAAGCGGCUACAGUAAAUCCUCACCUCGGAGACGAGCUUCCUGCUCUGCUCUGUGAUGGUUGUAGGCCUUGAAGAAGGGCC